UACGGAAGGGGCAAGCGUUGUUCGGAAUCAUUGGGCGUAAAGGGCGCGUAGGUGGCGGCUUAAGCGUGCGGUGAAAGCUCGGGGCUCAACCCCGAGUCGGCCGUGCGAACUGAGUCGCUUGAGCACUGUAGAGGCAGGCGGAAUUCCGGGUGUAGCGGUGGAAUGCGUAGAGAUCCGGAAGAACACCGGUGGCGAAGGCGGCCUGCUGGGCAGUAGCUGACACUGAGGCGCGACAGCGUGGGGAGCAAACAGG
rnacentral:rRNA from 1 species